rnacentral:sRNA from 1 species
AGGUGCGAUCAUACCAGCACUAAUGCACCGGAUCCCAUCAGAACUCCGCAGUUAAGCGUGCUUGGGCGAGAGUAGUACUAGGAUGGGUGACCUCCUGGGAAGUCCUCGUGUUGCACCUCUUUUUUUCACGGGAGGUAGCAUUAACGGACUCG